rnacentral:sRNA from 1 species
AUAUCUCUCCGUACGGGAAGGAUGAGAAGCUUCGACCAAGGUUCGAUUCGAGCGCAGCGAGAAAGCGUUGCCGCAGGCAACGACCCGAAGGGCGAAGC